rnacentral:rRNA from 1 species
UUGAUCCUGGCUCAGAAUCAACGCUGGCGGCGUGCCUAACACAUGCAAGUCGAGCGCGAAAGGGGGGCAACUCCCGAGUAGAGCGGCGAACGGGUGAGUUACGCGUGGGUUAUCUACCUCCGAGUGGGGAAUAACACCGGGAAACUGGUUCUAAUACCGCAUGAUAUCGAAAGAUCAAAGCUGGGGACCGCAAGGCCUAUCGCUUGGAGAGGAGCCCGCGUCCGAUUAGCUAGUUGGCGGGGUAAUGGCUCACCAAGGCGACGAUCGGUAGCCGGCCUGAGAGGGCGGACGGCCACACUUGGACUGAGACACGGCCCAGACUCCUACGGGAGGCAGCAGUGGGGAAUUUUUCGCAAUGGGGGAAACCCUGACGAAGCAACGCCGCGUGGAGGAUGAAGGUCUUCGGGUUGUAAACUCCUGUCGACCGGGACGAAAGCUGUCCGACCUAAUACGUCAGGCAGUCGACUGUACCGGUGGAGGAAGCCACGGCUAACUCUGUUCCAGCAGCCGCGGUAAUAAGGU